rnacentral:rRNA from 1 species
AGAGUUUGAUCCUGGCUCAGAACGAACGCUGGCGGCGUGCUUAACACAUGCAAGUCGAACGCGAAAAUUUUCCUCGGAAAGUGAGUAGAGUGGCGCACGGGUGAGUAACGCGUAAGUUAUCUACCUCGGCAUCCGGAAUAACUCACCGAAAGGUGUGCUAAUACCGGAUACGUUGAGUAAUCAAGAAAGGUGGCCUCUGAAUAUGCUACUGUGCUGAGAUGAGCUUGCGUACCAUUAGCUAGUUGGUAGGGUAACGGCCUACCAAGCCGACGAUCAGUAGGGGUUCUGAGAGGAUUACCCCCCACACUGGUACUGAGACACGGACCAGACUCCUACGGGAGGCAGCAGUGAGGAAUAUUGGUCAAUGGGCGAGAGCCUGAACCAGCCAUCCCGCGUGCAGGAUGACGGCCCUAUGGGUUGUAAACUGCUUUUCUGCUCCAAGAAACCCACCUACGUGUAGGUGGUUGACGGUAGAGUAGGAAUAAGCAUCGGCUAACUCCGUGCCAGCAGCCGCGGUAAUACGGAGGAUGCAAGCGUUAUCCGGAUUCAUUGGGUUUAAAGGGUGCGCAGGUGGGAAUGUAAGUCAGUGGUGAAAUACUGCCGCUUAACGGUAGAGCUGCCAUUGAUACUGCGUUUCUUGAGUAUGGUUGAGGUAGGUGGAAUGUGUUGUGUAGCGGUGAAAUGCAUAGAUAUGACACAGAACGCCGAUUGCGAAGGCAACUUACUAAGCCAUUACUGACGCUGAGGCACGAAAGCGUGGGUAGCGAACAGGAUUAGAUACCCUGGUAGUCC